rnacentral:rRNA from 1 species
GCCUGGCCGGGGGGGCCUAAUACAUGCAGUCGAACGAGUUCUGAUUAUUGAAAGGUGCUUGCAUCUUGAUUUAAUUUUGAACGAGUGGCGGACGGGUGAGUAACACGUGGGUAACCUGCCCUUAAGUGGGGGAUAACAUUUGGAAACAGAUGCUAAUACCGCAUAAAUCCAAGAACCGCAUGGUUCUUGGCUGAAAGAUGGCGUAAGCUAUCGCUUUUGGAUGGACCCGCGGCGUAUUAGCUAGUUGGUGAGGUAACGGCUCACCAAGGCAAUGAUACGUAGCCGAACUGAGAGGUUGAUCGGCCACAUUGGGACUGAGACACGGCCCAAACUCCUACGGGAGGCAGCAGUAGGGAAUCUUCCACAAUGGACGCAAGUCUGAUGGAGCAACGCCGCGUGAGUGAAGAAGGCUUUCGGGUCGUAAAACUCUGUUGUUGGAGAAGAAUGGUCGGCAGAGUAACUGUUGUCGGCGUGACGGUAUCCAACCAGAAAGCCACGGCUAACUACGUGCCAGCAGCCGCGGUAAUACGUAGGUGGCAAGCGUUAUCCGGAUUUAUUGGGCGUAAAGCGAGCGCAGGCGGUUUUUUAAGUCUGAUGUGAAAGCCCUCGGCUUAACCGAGGAAGUGCAUCGGAAACUGGGAAACUUGAGUGCAGAAGAGGACAGUGGAACUCCAUGUGUAGCGGUGAAAUGCGUAGAUAUAUGGAAGAACACCAGUGGCGAAGGCGGCUGUCUGGUCUGUAACUGACGCUGAGGCUCGAAAGCAUGGGUAGCGAACAGGAUUAGAUACCCUGGUAGUCCAUGCCGUAAACGAUGAAUGCUAGGUGUUGGAGGGUUUCCGCCCUUCAGUGCCGCAGCUAACGCAUUAAGCAUUCCGCCUGGGGAGUACGACCGCAAGGUUGAAACUCAAAGGAAUUGACGGGGGCCCGCACAAGCGGUGGAGCAUGUGGUUUAAUUCGAAGCAACGCGAAGAACCUUACCAGGUCUUGACAUCUUUUGAUCACCUGAGAGAUCAGGUUUCCCCUUCGGGGGCAAAAUGACAGGUGGUGCAUGGUUGUCGUCAGCUCGUGUCGUGAGAUGUUGGGUUAAGUCCCGCAACGAGCGCAACCCUUAUGACUAGUUGCCAGCAUUUAGUUGGGCACUCUAGUAAGACUGCCGGUGACAAACCGGAGGAAGGUGGGGAUGACGUCAAAUCAUCAUGCCCCUUAUGACCUGGGCUACACACGUGCUACAAUGGAUGGUACAACGAGUUGCGAGACCGCGAGGUCAAGCUAAUCUCUUAAAGCCAUUCUCAGUUCGGACUGUAGGCUGCAACUCGCCUACACGAAGUCGGAAUCGCUAGUAAUCGCGGAUCAGCACGCCGCGGUGAAUACGUUCCCGGGCCUUGUACACACCGCCCGUCACACCAUGAGAGUUUGUAACACCCGAAGCCGGUGGCGUAACCCUUUUAGGGAGCGAGCCGUCUAAGGGGGAACU